CAAGGGCCUAGUUCAGAGUAAUAUUCAAUAAAUGUUGCUAAGAUGUUUGAGAUGAAUGAAUGGCUGCAUAUAGGAAGUUGGAAAGACUCCUUCACAUUUUAGGGGAUGGAAAGAACCUGAUAAUGAUGACUGAAAGCUCACCCAUCAAUCAAGUCCCAACCAGCAGAGCCAAUGAGAAGAAACCUCUACCCUCUUGAAUAUCUUUAGCAGUUCACUUUCACUUAUGGGUGACCAAAGGAGGAAUGUCUUUAUUCAUAAACUAUUGAAACCCUU